rnacentral:rRNA from 1 species
ACUUAAAUUGAAGAGUUUGAUCAUGGCUCAGAUUGAACGCUGGCGGCAGGCCUAACACAUGCAAGUCGAGCGGUAGCACAGAGAGCUUGCUCUCGGGUGACGAGCGGCGGACGGGUGAGUAAUGUCUGGGAAACUGCCUGAUGGAGGGGGAUAACUACUGGAAACGGUAGCUAAUACCGCAUAACGUCGCAAGACCAAAGUGGGGGACCUUCGGGCCUCAUGCCAUCAGAUGUGCCCAGAUGGGAUUAGCUGGUAGGUGGGGUAACGGCUCACCUAGGCGACGAUCCCUAGCUGGUCUGAGAGGAUGACCAGCCACACUGGAACUGAGACACGGUCCAGACUCCUACGGGAGGCAGCAGUGGGGAAUAUUGCACAAUGGGCGCAAGCCUGAUGCAGCCAUGCCGCGUGUGUGAAGAAGGCCUUCGGGUUGUAAAGCACUUUCAGCGGGGAGGAAGGCG